UCUUAUAGAUGAGCAAAGGAAGUGGUUUUUUGAGAUGGAAUCUCCUCUUGGUGAAGGUACUGAGAA
rnacentral:pre_miRNA from 1 species